AUGUGAUGUAAUGCAAGAAAAGUAGAGGUGAAUGGAUGGAUAAUACAAUAAUAAAAUGUCAUAAAAUAACUGCACCUGUCAGCAGAGCAGCUGAACUAGAACAGCAGUCGUACAUUUAUUUACAAACCCCACGUGUACAGGGCAGGAUGUGCAAUGGUCCAGGGGAAAAGGGACAAAGUCCAACACACACUCCGCUCACUCGCUCCUCUCGUAUUUGUUUUCAGCACACUCACUCUCACUCCACUCCACGCCACCAGGGAAACAGAUCGGGGUCACGGACGAGUCCGAGAACCAAAGCCCAAGAGCACUGCGUUUCCCAGCAUGCCUUGGCUGUGCUCAUGGAAGUGAAUGAGGGGGAAAGAUCUGUCCUGCUGCCCUGUCAGUACUCGGAUUUCAUACCUGGUGAUCUCAGAGGACAAAAGCAGCGUUACAGCGGCGCACAUCGAUGAGAGCUGACGCUCUCAACACUUCAGACCUCCGCCUGUCUCUGAGAAAACCAACAAUGGCUGUCAGCAGCAACUACACCUGCUCCACCAGUGCUGGGAGAGAAGAGCUGAGACUGACAGCUCUUUGUACAGGCCUUCACCUCCUCAUUCAUCCACAGUCUGCCUCCCUCUGCUCCAUCAGCUGACGUCCUCUGUACAACUACCUGCUGUGUGCACAUCUUUGAUUUCUUCUUCUUUUAUCCUGCAAAGCUCAAACUUCACUAUAAUACAAAGACAUUUCAGAAACGCUGCACUGAGUGAAAGAUAACAGCAGUGACCUAAA